UACAGAGGGUGCUAGCGUUGUUCGGAAUCAUUGGGCGUAAAGGGCGUGUAGGCGGCCAGGUAGGUCGGUUGUGAAAACUGGAGGCUCAACCUUCAGAGGUCGACCGAAACCAUCUGGCUAGAGUCCGGGAGAGGAGAGUGGAAUUCCUGGUGUAGCGGUGAAAUGCGCAGAUAUCAGGAAGAACACCCGUGGCGAAAGCGGCUCUCUGGAACGGUACUGACGCUGAGACGCGAAAGCGUGGGGAGCGAACAGG
rnacentral:rRNA from 1 species